UGUGGUGUGUGUGUGUGGUGUGUGUGUGUGUGUGUGUGUGUGUGUGUGUGUGUGUGUGGAGAUAAAGAGGAAUACUUGAGGAAGCUAUUUGAAAGCGCUUCACUGGCAUUAUGUGUGUUGUGGGAAAGGACUGGUGGGCAGAUGUGUGCCACACCACUGACAUGGAUCAUACCUCCAGCACAAGUGGAACAGUAACUUAAUAGUUUGUGUUAUUGAGGAUUCAAAAUCAGAAGAGAGUUGGGCAGAGACUUAACAGCCGAAAACCGUUCAAUGGAACAAAAAGCACAAUUUACGAUCAUGGCAAGAUUGUCACUAUUGUCAUUUUUUUCGCUGAAGUGGUUCCGCAUUGACUCUUUAGCGCAGAUGUUUUUGUGAUAAUUAAGAUGUGUUUUGCUUUGAUUCAUUUGCUUGUUUGGUAAAGUCAAAUAGAUGUAUAUCUUAUGAUUAACAAAAUGAAUUCCAUUCUUUCUAUGAAAGUAAAGCAUCUUGUGUGUGAAGAAUCACACUUCAUUCUCUAUUUUUUGUGUGUGUAUAAAUUAAUUAGUGUUGUUGGAAAAUGAUCCAGUAUAUAUGCUGAUCAUCACAUUCUUCUGUCUUUGAUGCCUUUUUUCUGUUAUUUCGUCUAAAGUGUCUGAUCUUUUUUGAGACUGUUUCAUUCUGUUUGGAGGUAACGCUUGCUAUUUGAUUGUCUGACCGACGGAAUACCUAGUGUAUGCUGUGUUUGAUUUGUAUGGAAAUGUGCUUUAAAGUAUGUUUAAAGAACAAAAUACAUGGUAUGAAGAAAAACAGAUGGCUAAUGAAGCUAACAAAGUGGCUUGUGGCCAUAUUUGUAUUAAAAUAAAGUUUCUAAGUGAAU